rnacentral:rRNA from 1 species
AACGAACGCUGGCGGCGUGCUUAACACAUGCAAGUCGCGCGAGAAAGUGGGGGCAACUCCAUGAGUAAAGCGGCGCACGGGUGAGUAAUACGUAGGUAACCUACCCUUGAGACCGGGAUAACCUUCCGAAAGGAGGGCUAAUACUGGAUAAGACCACGGGGCUUAGGCUCUGCGGUCAAAGGUGGCCUCUGCACGCAAGCUACCACUCGAAGAUGGGCCUGCGCACCAUUAGCAGUUGGCGAGGUAACGGCUCACCAAGGCGAAGAUGGUUAGCUGAUCUGAGAGGAUGAUCAGCCACACUGGGACUGAGACACGGCCCAGACUCCUACGGGAGCAGCAGUGGGAAUCUUGGACAAUGGGGAAA